AUCCUUUCAUUCUGUUAUAAAAAGAAAAUCACUGUGCUGCUGAUUGGAGUCCUGUCCUGGCUUAGUCUUCUGCUUUGCUGGAGCUAGUGUGAGGAAGCACUCUGGAAACCAGCCACCAAAAGAUUGUUUUAGCAGCACCAUUUGAUCUUCUAACAGGUUUAUAUCAUCAACACUGAAAUGUAGAAGUUACUCACAUUAGCAUAUGGAAUUUGUAGCAUAAAUCAACAAUAACUGUGUUCUUCUAUGUUUAACAGUGCAUACAUUGUACUAACUAACUAAACAUUUAGUUGCAUUUAUUUGGUUGAGAAGGGGCCUAAAUGUCUUUCCAAAAACACAUGGGAAUUUCCUGAACAUCACUUAAUAGGGGAAUGUAGUCAAUUGAAUUUGCUAUUAUCCUGAAAUCUACUGAAGCUUUGACAUUUCUGGAAGCUUCAAAUACAUCUUUCUAAGAAAAAUAAAUUAAUCCCUUUUAUACACUGCAGGUAAAUCACAUCUUUUUGUUGUUGUUGUUGUUGCUACUUUUCGUAUUCCUUGCUACUGCUUGUAGUAUUCUGGGAGUUAGAGUAACAUGAUAACUCCACCUCCUUCAACUAAAAAUGAAAUACAAUAUCAAUGGAUUUUUCAGUCCUUUUUAAGCUCUUUUUGAUGAUUUAAGUUUUAUAUUUACAAAAAGUUAAUUGUUAUAUGAGAGAUUCAGAGAGGAGAGAAUUUUAGAUAUAAGCUGAAUGAGAUAAGAUGUGUAAAAAACAUACAAACAUGAUGUAUUUUUUUUUAUAAUGUUGAUGAAUAGUGCAUUGUUCAUGGUAGCAUCAUAUUAUAAGGAUAAUCUUGAUAUUUUAUUAAAACUAUUCUUAACUAAAUAAAUACUAUUUACAUAUAUCUAUUGAAGAUCUCUCUUACAAUUUGGUUGCUAUUUGUUUCCUGUAAAUAAAUAGCAAUACAUGGCAUCCCUAGUUAAAUAUUAUGAGUGUUACAAUGAAGGAGGAUUAUAGUGAGGGUGACCUGUAAAAGUGGUUAAAUGAAGAAGGGAAUUAAUUGCCUAAUAUCAGUGUAAUAGUAUCUUAUGAGUGUGAUUGCUUUUAGUAGGCAAGAGUAAGCAUUCUUGGAGGACAAGCAAGUUUAACUUGAGCAGCAGUGUAAACACAAAUGUUUUGUUUUACUCUUUUGAUAUUUUAAUGGAAUGUUGAAACAAUUGUACCGAACUAGUGAAAUGGAGAAAAAUAUUUCAAAUGUGGUUCUUAUCUGAAACAUAUAACUGGUAAAUCUUUGGCUAAUGUUUGAAAAAUACACUUGCUAAAGGCACUUAAAUGUUGUCUGAAUUGGAAUGGAGGAUAAACCUCUGCAGAAUUUAAACCUUCACUUCUUGUUUUUGUUUAUUUGUUAAAGAGGGGAAGCAUUCCAAAUAUAAAACAAUGUUUGUCUUCCUGAGUAUAUAGGCAUGACUCUGCUGCUAAUAGCCUUCUAAAAGAGAGGGAAAUUGACCUUUGUUAGUUUUCACUGCUGUUAGCCAGAACCUUGCAGAGGGCAAUGAAAUUGACAAGAAUAUCUUUCACUGUUUGAUGAUUUAAUGAAUACUCUGAACAGAAACAUGGCCCAGAGCUACUCACAGGGGAAUAGAACCCAAAAAUGGAGCCUAAGGAACUGUAUUGAGUAACAGACCCAUCUUUCUGCCUCCACACACUCUGGUACUAUUUAGAUUGAAGUAGGGUGUCUUUCAGCUAGAUGAGAAGUCUCCCCACCCCCAUUGUCCUGAAUCUAAUUGGUGGGAUUUCCCCUUGUUUUUUGUAUUGGCCUCUGACUAGUAAAUACUAAGUAAAUUUUUAGGUUAUGAAAUCCUUCCAGUGUUUUAUUACUCGUUGCAUAUUUCUAACUCUGGAGUUGUAAUGACUGCUGUAGCUCAUAUUUAAAGAAUCAAAUCAGUCUAAUAUCAAGUUAAAUCCAAUAUGAGGUAUGAUGAGUAGGUUUUUAGGCAUUUCUCCACCAAUUUAUAUGGGAAAUGCCUUUUCAUGAGAGGGCCUCAAUGUUGCUUCUAUUAAAAUUUUUAUGUGAUGCAGUUUUAAACAGGGUUCCAAGGCACUUUACAUUUUAAAAGGUAACAUGAUUUAACUCACGAAAUUGAAUGGGGCCAAAAUGUUUUACAAAUCAUGGGACUACCUAGUAAUGAAUAUUAUUCAACUAUUUUAAUGCUAUUUGGACAUCUACAUUGAGUAGUUAAACCAUUUAAAAAUGGUUCUAGUGAAUAGUUUUGAACUGCUUCAGGUUUUAAAAUCAGUACUGGUUAGAGCUACGCAUAAUGUGGGCUGGAGUGUGACACCUUCCCUACAGCUUUGCCAUUUAAUUCCUGUCCAUUAUGGCCAUGUCUGCACCUGGAAUAAAAGGUAUAUGGUUUUUAGUAAAUUAAAUGACUGUUUAAAUAUCAAGAUUUAACACACAUGGUAG